GACGAACGCUGGCGGCGUGCUUAACACAUGCAAGUCGAACGGAAAGGCCCUGCUUUUGUGGGGUGCUCGAGUGGCGAACGGGUGAGUAACACGUGAGUAGCCUGCCCUUGACUUUGGGAUAACUUCAGGAAACUGGGGCUAAUACCGGAUAGGAGCUCCUGCUGCAUGGUGGGGGUUGGAAAGUUUCGGCGGUUGGGGAUGGACUCGCGGCUUAUCAGCUUGUUGGUGGGGUAGUGGCUUACCAAGGCUUUGACGGGUAGCCGGCCUGAGAGGGUGACCGGCCACAUUGGGAGUGAGAUACGGCCCAGAAUCCUACGGGAGGCAGCAGUGGGGAAUAUUGCACAAUGGGCGGAAGCCUGAUGCAGCAACGCCGCGUGCGGGAUGACGGCCUUCGGGGUGUAAACCGCUUUCGCCUGUGACGAAGCGUGAGUGACGGUAAUGGGUAAAGAAGCACCGGCUAACUACGUG
rnacentral:rRNA from 1 species